UUCUCGAAGCUCCCUUCUCUCACUUCGUCUUCACCGUUCGCCUGCAAAGCUUUCAAGCUCAGUGAACUCUCUGGCGCCAAAAUCACAUCUUCUUCUUCAAAUUUGAGCUGCCAUAUUCUAUCUCUCUCUCUCUCUCUCUCUCGUGUUUACUCUCUCGAUUUGGCAGAGAUUGCAAAGUUUUUGGGCAUUACAAAUACAAUAGACACAGAAGUCAUUCAAGUUAGUAGAUUCAUAUUGAUGUUGAAUUAUUUAUUUGAGUCAUAGAUGGCUUAUGGGUGAAAUUAAUAUCUCCUUAGUGUUGCUUUACAAAUGAACUGUACUUAUUGUCUGUACAAGUACAUUAUUCUUAAUUUCUGCUUUUGCCUUGUUUGAUGUCGAA